UACAGAGGGGGCUAGCGUUGCUCGGAAUCACUGGGCGUAAAGCGCACGUAGGCGGUCUUUUAAGUCAGGGGUGAAAUCCUGGAGCUCAACUCCAGAACUGCCUUUGAUACUGAGAGACUUGAGUCCGGGAGAGGUGAGUGGAACUGCGAGUGUAGAGGUGAAAUUCGUAGAUAUUCGCAAGAACACCAGUGGCGAAGGCGGCUCACUGGCCCGGUACUGACGCUGAGGUGCGAAAGCGUGGGGAGCAAACAGG
rnacentral:rRNA from 1 species